rnacentral:rRNA from 1 species
AUUGAACGCUGGCGGCAUGCCUUACACAUGCAAGUCGAACGGCAGCACGGACUUCGGUCUGGUGGCGAGUGGCGAACGGGUGAGUAAUAUAUCGGAACAUACCCAGUAGUGGGGGAUAACUAUCCGAAAGGAUAGCUAAUACCGCAUACGAUCUGUGGAUGAAAGCAGGGGAUCUUCGGACCUUGUGCUAUUGGAAUGGCCGAUAUCUGAUUAGCUAGUUGGUAGGGUAAAAGCCUACCAAGGCGACGAUCAGUAGCUGGUCUGAGAGGACGACCAGCCACACUGGAACUGAGACACGGUCCAGACUCCUACGGGAGGCAGCAGUGGGGAAUUUUGGACAAUGGGGGCAACCCUGAUCCAGCAAUGCCGCGUGAGUGAAGAAGGCCCUCGGGUUGUAAAGCUCUUUUGUCAGGGAAGAAACGGAGUUCUCUAAUAUAGGAUUCUAAUGACGGUACCUGAAGAAUAAGCACCGGCUAACUACGUGCCAGCAGCCGCGGUAAUACGUAGGGUGCAAGCGUUAAUCGGAAUUACUGGGCGUAAAGCGUGCGCAGGCGGUUUUGUAAGUCUGAUGUGAAAUCCCCGGGCUCAACCUGGGAACUGCAUUGGAGACUGCAAGGCUAGAGUGUGUCAGAGGGGGGUAGAAUUCCACGUGUAGCAGUGAAAUGCGUAGAGAUGUGGAGGAAUACCGAUGGCGAAGGCAGCCCCCUGGGAUAACACUGACGCUCAUGCACGAAAGCGUGGGGAGCAAACAGG